rnacentral:rRNA from 1 species
GUACCGUGAGGGAAAGGUGAAAAGAACCCCGGGAGGGGAGUGAAAUAGAACAUGAAACCAUUAGCCUACAAGCAGUGGAAGGACGAUUAAACGUCUGACCGCGUGCCUGUUGAAGAAUGAGCCGGCGACUUAUAGGGAGUGGCUAGGUUAAGGUAGAAAAGCCGGAGCCAAAGCGAAAGCAAGUCUGAAUAGGGCGAUAAUGGUCACUCUUUAUGGACCCGAACCCGGGUGAUCUAACCAUGGCCAGGAUGAAUCUUGGGUAACACCAAGUGGAAGACCGAACCGACCGAUGUUGAAAAAUCGGCGGAUGAGCUGUGGUUAGGGGUGAAAUUCCAGUCGAACUCGGAGCUAGCUGGAUCUCCUCGAAAUGUGUUUAGGCGCAGCG